rnacentral:rRNA from 1 species
UCGGACGGGGUGAGUAACGCGUGAGGAUCUGCCCUUAGGACGGGGACAACAGUUGGAAACGACUGCUAAUACCCGAUGUGCCGGAAGGUGAAACAUUUAUGGCCUGAGGAUGAGCUCGCGUCUGAUUAGCUAGUUGGAGUGGUAAUGGCACACCAAGGCGACGAUCAGUAGCUGGUCUGAGAGGAUGAUCAGCCACACUGGGACUGAGACACGGCCCAGACUCCUACGGGAGGAGCAGUGGGGAAUUUUCCGCAAUGGGCGCAAGCCUGACGGAGCAAGACCGCGUGGGGGACGAAGGUUUGUGGAUUGUAAACCCCUUUUGAUUGGGAAGAAGUUCUGACGGUACCAAUCGAAUCAGCAUCGGCUAACUCCGUGCCAGCAGCCGCGGUAAUACGGAGGAUGCAAGCGUUAUCCGGAAUUAUUGGGCGUAAAGCGUCCGUAGGUGGCUAUUCAAGUCAGUUGUUAAAGCGUGGGGCUUAACUCCAUAAAGGCAAAUGAACUGAUUGGCUAGAGUGCGAUAGGGGCAAGGGGAAUUUCCAGUGUAGCGGUGAAAUGCGUAGAUAUUGGAAAGAACACCGGUGGCGAAAGCGCCUUGCUGGGUCUGCACUGACACUGAGGGACGAAAGCUAGGGGAGCGAAAGGGAUUAGAUACCCCUGUAGUCACGCGUUACUC